AGAACAGCUAUUUAUAUCGAUACUGAAGAAACGUUGAAAUGCAGGUUAAGACUGGGUAGUGCGCCACCAGACCGGAGUCCGUGUCCACCUCGAAUGAGUGCUUUGGAGCAGUCAAUUCGGAAAUACACGGAGAAACCAACAAAAAGUGUAAUAAGACCUGAACUAGGAUUGAGUUUUGAUUCGUUGGGCGAAGCAUACAGCUUUUACAAUCUGUAUUCGUGGGAAAUUGGCUUUGGUAUUAGAUAUGGCAAGAGCCGGUUGAAUGCAGAGAGAACUAAAUGCAUGCAGGAGAUCGUCUGCGGUUGUUCGGGAAAGCCAGAGAUGGAGAAUAGCAGGUCGUGCAGGUGCGAGUGUCCAGCCUUGAUUAGAUUGCUACGCGUUGCGGAUAACAGUUGGUAUAUUACUGAGCACCGUGAAAGCCACAACCACUCCAUGUCACCGACGAUGGGCGAGAAGGUGCACUGGCCCUCACACAAGCACACACUAAGGAUUUGAUAAAAGCAGAUGAGGGAGAAUAAUGUGAAUCUUGGUAAGGUUUGCAGCAUAAUUUGCAGCUAUUUCGGAUCAGUCGAGAAAUUUACAAAAAGGACUCUAAGGAACAUUUGCAGGGAGAUAAGCCGUGAGCAGGCGGAGGAUGAUGUCCAGAAGACUUUGGAGGUGUUUGCGGACAUUGUUAAUGGUGACCCCGGUUUUACAUACAAAGUUCCGGCAAAAAAUGGUAGUAAAGUGAAGAACGUCAUGUGAACAAAUGGGAGCAGCAGAAUGCAGUACAGGUUCUUUGGGGAUGCCGUAACUUUCGACACCACUUACAGGAGCCUGUACGACAUGCCUUCUGGACUAUUUGUUGGGAUGAACAAUCAUUUUCAGAGUAUAAUUCUUGAUGGUGUCUUGAUGAGGGACGGAUAAGAAGAGAGUUUCGAAUGGGUGUUCUUGCAGUUCAUGCAGAUGAUGGGAGGACCUUCUCCAAGGACUAUUCUGACAAGUAAGUCAUGGACAGCACGAUACCCUUGUGUUGGUAAAAGUCACACUUCAUGUAUAGCUGACGACUUGUGUUUGCAGACCAAAACCGAGCCAUGGAAUUGGCCAUAA
rnacentral:rRNA from 1 species